AUUAUUGGGCGUAAAGGGCUCGUAGGCGGUUCGUCGCGUCCGGUGUGAAAGUCCAUCGCUUAACGGUGGAUCCGCGCCGGGUACAGGCGGGCUUGAGUGCGGUAGGGGAGACUGGAAUUCCCGGUGUAACGGUGGAAUGUGUAGAUAUCGGGAAGAACACCAAUGGCGAAGGCAGGUCUCUGGGCCGUUACUGACGCUGAGGAGCGAAAGCGUGGGGAGCGAACAGGAUUAGAUACCCUGGUAGUCCACGCCGUAAACGGUGGAUGCUGGAUGUGGGGCCCGUUCCACGGGUUCCGUGUCGGAGCUAACGCGUUUAGCAUCCCGCCUGGGGAGUACGGCCGCAAGGCUAAAACUCAAAGAAAUUGACGGGGGCCCGCACAAGCGGCGGAGCAUGCGGAUUAAUUCGAUGCAACGCGAAGAACCUUACCUGGGCUUGACAUGUUCCCGACGAUCCCAGAGAUGGGGUUUCCCUUCGGGGCGGGUUCACAGGUGGUGCAUGGUCGUCGUCAGCUCGUGUCGUGAGAUGUUGGGUUAAGUCCCGCAACGAGCGCAACCCUCGCCCCGUGUUGCCAGCGGAUUGUGCCGGGAACUCACGGGGGACCGCCGGGGUUAACUCGGAGGAAGGUGGGGAUGACGUCAGAUCAUCAUGCCCCUUACGUCCAGGGCUUCACGCAUGCUACAAUGGCCGGUACAACGGGAUGCGACGCGGCGACGCGGAGCGGAUCCCUGAAAACCGGUCUCGGUUCGGAUCGCAGUCUGCAACUCGACUGCGUGAAGGCGGAGUCGCUAGUAAUCGCGAAUCAGCAACGUCGCGGUGAAUGCGUUCCCGGGCCUUGUACACACCGCCCGUCAAGUCAUGAAAGUGGGCAGCACCCGAAGCCGGUGGCCUAACCCCUUGUGGGAUGGAGCCGUCUAAGGUGAGGCUCGUGAUUGGGACUAAGUCGUAACAAGGUAGGCUUUCACCAGUGAAGAUGUGAUCGCUGUCACCUCGACAAGGUCCCCAGGGUUUCCCAGUCACGACGUCAUAGCUUCUCCUGUUGACGCCGCCAGG
rnacentral:rRNA from 1 species